GGAGAGGGUGUGACUUAAUGGCACAGCAUCUGCUUUGUAUGCAGACGGUCCCAGUUUCAAUCCCUGGCAUCUCCA
rnacentral:tRNA from 1 species